UUCCCCCUACGGGGGGCAGCAGUGAGGAAUAUUGGUCAAUGGCCGGAAGGCUGAACCAGCCAAGCCGCGUGAAGGACGAAGGUGCCAAGCAUUGUAAACUUCUUUUGUUAAGGGACAAAAUCAGGCUCGAGAGCCUGACCGAGGGUACUUGAAGAAAAAGCAUCGGCUAACUCCGUGCCAGCAGCCGCGGUAAUACGGAGGAUGCGAGCGUUAUCCGGAUUUUUUGGGUUUAAAGGGUGCGUAGACGGAAGAACAAGUUGGUUGUGAAAUCCCUCGGCUCAACUGAGGAACUGCAACCAAAACUA
rnacentral:rRNA from 1 species